UAGGGAAUCUUCGGCAAUGGGGGCAACCCUGACCGAGCAACGCCGCGUGAGUGAAGAAGGUUUUCGGAUCGUAAAGCUCUGUUGUAAGUCAAGAACGAGUGUGAGAGUGGAAAGUUCACACUGUGACGGUAGCUUACCAGAAAGGGACGGCUAACUACGUGCCAGCAGCCGCGGUAAUACGUAGGUCCCGAGCGUUGUCCGGAUUUAUUGGGCGUAAAGCGAGCGCAGGCGGUUUGAUAAGUCUGAAGUUAAAGGCUGUGGCUCAACCAUAGUUCGCUUUGGAAACUGUCAAACUUGAGUGCAGAAGGGGAGAGUGGAAUUCCAUGUGUAGCGGUGAAAUGCGUAGAUAUAUGGAGGAACACCGGUGGCGAAAGCGGCUCUCUGGUCUGUAACUGACGCUGAGGCUCGAAAGCGUGGGGAGCGAACGGGAUUAGAUACCCUGGUAGUCCACGCCGUAAACGAUGAGUGCUAGGUGUUGGAUCCUUUCCGGGAUUCAGUGCCGCAGCUAACGCAUUAAGCACUCCGCCUGGGGAGUACGACCGCAAGGUUG
rnacentral:rRNA from 1 species